GGGCACAGGAUGGGGAGGGGAAGAAAAAGAGGGCUCCACGGGAGCAGACAGAAUUACCUCCUGGAUAGCACUUAGGAAAUCAUCUAAUCCAACCCCUUGCAUUACAUUUGAGGAAACUGAGGCACAGAGAGGAGAUGGGUCUCCAUGGUGGUAGAGGACUGCACAAUUCCAAACCUGAGGCUCUUCACACCUCGCCUGCCAUCUGAGCCACGACCGUGUCCCGCAUGAUACUGGCACAUGGGCACAGCACCAUAGCUGGCACCUGAUAACCCACCGUGUGAAGAGGCUCCUUUUUCCAUCCUUUUUCCUAGGGGUGGACUGAAAGAGAAAAGAUCAUUUUCAGAUGAGACAGCACAAUAAACAAGCAAAAACAGGCUCACGACUUCCUAGAAGCUCCUAGGCGUCUAGACAUAGUGGUUCUCAAUCCUGCAAAGAGACAGAGG
rnacentral:lncRNA from 1 species